rnacentral:rRNA from 1 species
UACGUAGGUGGCAAGCGUUGUCCGGAUUUACUGGGCGUAAAGAGCGCGCAGGCGGUCGUUCAAGUCGCGUGUGAAAGCCCCCGGCUCAACUGGGGAGGGUCACGCGAUACUGAUCGACUCGAAGGCAGGAGAGGGUAGUGGAAUUCCCGGUGUAGUGGUGGAAUGCGUAGAUAUCGGGAGGAACACCAGUGGCGAAGGCGGCUUCCUGGACCUGUUCUGACACUGAGGAGCGAAAGCGUGGGGAGCGAGUCCGG